AUUGAACGCUGGUGGUAUGCUUAACACAUGCAAGUCGACCGGUAGCAGGUCUUUCAGGAUGCUGACGAGUGGCGGACGGGUGAGUAACGCGUAGGAACCUACCCAUAUGAGGGGGAUACCAGUUGGAAACGGCUGUUAAUACCGCAUAAUAUCUACGGAUUAAAGGUGGCACUUGUGCUGUCGCAUAUGGAAGGGCCUGCGUUGGAUUAGUUUGUUGGUGGGGUAAAGGCCUACCAAGACUACGAUCCAUAGCUGAUUUGAGAGGAUGAUCAGCCACACUGGAACUGAGACACGGUCCAG
rnacentral:rRNA from 1 species